CGAGUACGCCAGAUGAUCGCUCCGUAACAGGAGAGGAAAGUCCGAACACCGUGAUUUUGUCUGAAUUAAGGCAUUGUCAGAGUGAUAGUCGCUAACGGCGACGGGCACAAGAUGGAAAUGAUGAGCGAGCACUCGAGUUCGCUGUUCAGUUUCAUGCGAGGCCACGGAAAGUGCAACAGAAAAUACACCGCCUAAGCGCUUCGCUGGCGCUUUGCGCACAAUUGACAUUUAACAUUUGACCGAUAGAUAUGAUGUCAAAAGUCAGAUGUAAAUAGUCACAUGUUCGCGGAGCGACAGUGGAGCGACGGUAAGGUUGAAAUCGUGGGGUAAGAGCCCACGCGAGACAGCCCGGAGACGGGCGUCGUGGAAAACACCUAUCCGGUGCAAGGGGAAAACCCGCUUGAGGUCUUGAGCAAUCAGGAUCCCAGAGAGAUGAUCAUCAUCCCGACUUGUCGGGAUACAGAAUUCGGCUUAUCAGCUUGCUUGAAGG
rnacentral:RNase_P_RNA from 1 species